rnacentral:misc_RNA from 1 species
CAAAAACGUCAACAACAACGGGAUCAAAGGCGGGAGAGACGAAGUCUGCCAAAGGUCAUAAUGGUCUGUUUUUAAAGUGAAAAGCGGACAUAUAUUCAGAAUGUCGGCUCAGAAACGAAAGGCCUCAGACACAGAGGAUUCUCCAUCCAGUGAGGAACCAAGACAAAAGUUCCUUCAUAGAGAUGCUAGUCCUUCCAAAGACAAAGAGAGUGAACUCCAAGAGAUAAAGUCCAGAGUGAACCAGAAGCAAGAGGUUCUGCGCAAACUCCAAUUAGUUCGCAUGUAUCGCAACAAGCCAGAGAUGCAAGAUCUCGAUACUGUAACAGCAAAGUGGCUCCAGGUGUGUCAGGAGGCAUUGCAAGAACUGCUCAUCAAGGUCAAAGAGCAGAUGAGCAAUGAGAUGGGGCAGGAGGAACUUACUCUUACACAGCUUGUAAAUAAGUUGGGCCUUGAUCCUGAGCUGCUGAUGUUAGACCCUGUAGAGGAUUGUUUUGUAACCUGAUAAUCUUCUCGCACCUCCCCCUCCCCUCCCCCCCCCCCUUUUUUUCCUUUUCUUUUUCUUGGAAUGAGAAUAAUGUGUCUGGGAUAGUUUUGGGAAAAAUAUGAAUUCUUAUCAAUUUUAAACAUGGUGAGGAAAAAGAGUUUGGAAUAGUCAUGAGAAAAACAUAAUUUGUUAAUCAUGGAUUUCUACAGUGUUUAUUUUCAAACUGUAGCAAUAUCUAUAUUUUUUUCUUAUCUAGUGUACAAACUGUUUGUGAAAAGUGCCUUUAUAUAUUUGUAUAACUAUGUACAUUUGCUUAGCAAUAAGGAAAAAAAUGAUAAGUAAUCAUAAUAGAUUUAUUUUCACCUUUUAUCACAUAUAUUUUUUCUGUCCUCUUCUGUUGACCAAUCUUUAUUGAAGGUAUUUUAUAUUAAUAUUAUGAAAAGGAGAAAACACACUACCGUGUUGAUACUAUGAUGGAAUCCAGGUGGAUUCCGAAACUGUAGUCUCUCUUUUUCAUUAAAUCUAAUCUUAAUAUUAUAAUAUUCAAAUGUGUAUUUUUUACUUUAAAAUGAGGUUCAUGUUUUGACAUAACAAUGCAAUUAAUUAUAAUGAAAGAGUAAACAAUAGUUACCAUUCUCAGAAGAGGUUUUCUAAAAAUAAUGGUAGGAUAAUAAAAUUUUUUUUUUUUUUUUUGCAUGAGGUAAUUUAUGAAUCAAGUUUUUAAAACUCAGAACACAUAGAAGAAAAUAUUGUUCUUAAAAUAUUCACAGAAUUCAGGUUCCAUCUGGAAAGAAGCCAGAAAAACAAUUCUUUGGUUUGAACAAAAAUGCUCAUCAUAAAUGUGUAAGACAAAAGAAGAAAAAAAAGUUCAGUCAAAUUGUUCCCUGACUGAACUCCUACUUUAACCUACUAGAAAUAAAUGUAUAGUUUAAAAUACUACUUCUAAAGACACAACUAACUGUCACAUUACACACUUGUACAACUUACACCUUAACAUCUAUUAUUUGUCUGUGUUUUGUCCUCCCUGUGACAUCAAUUAUGCACAAUUCUAAUGUAAUACUUGUUAUUUGGUACAGGUAUGGGUAUAUAUUGCUGGGAGGAUGAGGUUUUGAAUGAGUGGGGAGGUAUUUAGUGUACAGAUGAAGGUGUGAUUAUGAGUGUGUAUCAGUAUGGAUGGGUAUGGUAUAAAUGGAAGGGACAAUGUAUGUUUCACUUUGAAGGGCAGUGUGGACAUGUCCUAAAGUGCCUCUUCACCCACUGCAGAGUCACCCAGUCCUGACUAUGGCUGCAGAAAAGCAGGAAGACCAUGGCAGGUUACCCAACUGAGGGGCAGGUUACCCAACUGAGGGGCAGGUUACCCAACUGAGGGGCAGGUUACCCAACUGAGGGGCAGGUUACCCAACUCAGGGGCAGGUUACCCAACUCAGGGGCAGGUUACCCAACUCAGGGGCAGGUUACCCAACUCAGGGGCAGGUUACCCAAAUGAGGGGCAGGUUACCCAAAUGAGGGGUAGGUGGAGUGCAUGCAAAAUACACUAGUGUGUUUGAAAUAUGGCCAGUAAAAGAAGAAAAAAGAAACCAAUAGCAACAAUCAAUACAUAACAUAUCUAACAAGAACAUAACAUACAAAACAAUUAGAAUUGUAUAUUGUAACAUCUUUUGGUUCAUAAUGGCACAUGGAUCAACAGAAUCAUAACAGGAUCAAAGUAGUUACAACAUAAUUACUUAAAGAAAUAUCUUCAAUACAAAAUAAUAAUAUACAGAAUACAUCACCAAAACAGGAAUAUAACAUUUCUUCUUAUAGAUAAUUUAAUAUACUUCUUAGUCUGACUGAACUCUAAAAGGUAGCAACAUAAUUCUAAUACAAAACUAUAAUAUAUAAUGGCAAUACACUGGCCUUACAUGGGAACACAUUAUGAUGAAAUAGCACCCUAUAUUUUCCGCUCUGCACUUAGGACCUCUCAAUGUUUUUUCUGGUAAGAAAGGUCACAAUGAUACCAAAUAAUACCAUGUUUCUUCAUUCUUGUUACUUUUUCUUUCUAUUUUUUAUUUUUAUUUAUCAGUGUGAUUCUUUGGUGGUAAACCAUAUUAUUGUCAUUUUAAAACAUCUAAUACUUUACAUAAUAUCUAUUUAUCUUAAUAAAUGCAUAGGUAUUAUUCUUAGCAUUCCAACAGUUACAGAACCGCACCAAAAGUUUAAAUCAAAAUGUAUGUCGACUUUUCCCUGCAAUUAUUAUCCCUCAAACAAACAGAAUAUAAAAAUAAAUUUUCAUUUACACUACAUAUUUUUUGGCUCAAAAUGUGCACCAUGAUACUCACAGCCGUUUCAUUUCUUUUUUCCAUAUAGUAUGAAUCUACGUUAAAUCACCAGACUAAAUUUUUAAAAUAAUUUCCAAAAAUUCUAAUUUCCAUCAUUAAAUGGCAUAUUUCUAUCAAACUUGCAAUAGCUGCAUUAGAAGAACCUGCCUAAAAUGAAUAAAAAAAAAAAAAAAAAAAAA